rnacentral:rRNA from 1 species
UACGUAGGGUGCAAGCGUUGUCCGGAAUUAUUGGGCGUAAAGAGCUCGUAGGCGGUUUGUCGCGUCUGCUGUGAAAACUCGGGGCUUAACCCCGGGCCUGCAGUGGGUACGGGCAGACUAGAGUGCGGUAGGGGAGACUGGAAUUCCUGGUGUAGCGGUGAAAUGCGCAGAUAUCAGGAGGAACACCGGCGGCGAAGGCGGGUCUCUGGGCCAUAACUGACGCUGAGGAGCGAAAGCGUGGGGAGCGAACAGG